GAGGGAGAGCGAGAGGGGACCCUAAUAGUUGUCAUCGUCUAUCGGAUACUAGAUUUAACAACAGGAAUUUCAACUGUAAUCUACAGGUGUAAUAGUUAGGUGGGGCUUAUUUACUGCCAAACAGACCGUGACUAUUUUAUCGUCUAUAUAAAUAUAUAUACGUUAUAGACUUGUAUAUAGGCCACUAUACUUAUGUUAUGUUAUCGAGACAAGCAGGUAUUCAUUUAUUGAAACUGACUAUUAUAAUAUUAUAUUAGAUACAACCCGACAUUUAUACAGUAAUAUACAAGUGACCAAUAUGAUAUAAUAUUCACAGAUUUACAUGGAAACUUUUGUUGACAUUUUGGAAUAGAAUCAGGCAACUACAAGAUUGUUCAAGUAAAUAGAAAGUACGGCAUUGCAGUAGUCAAUUCUGGACAGCACGAAUGAUCGAGCCAGUGCAGCGGCUGCACCUUCGGGUAUCAGAUGACGGAUUGAUCCUAUUCUUCGAAGAUGAAAAUGUAAAAGAGACGCAGAAGAAAGACGAACGGGGAGGAGAAGAGAGGAGCAGAGACCAGCGAAUGGGCUCACCCGAGUUCAGCCGCUGCCGAGACAGAAGGGCGUAAUGUACCGUGUUGAUGUUUGAUUUAUGUUCGUGUGUAUUUAUGUUCCUGUUCCCGAUGUAAAUAAAUUUUGACUAAAAUAGUGUUACAUGUACGAUUUAUUUUUCGUUCAAUCAGGGACCAUAUGUAACACUAUCCUGUGUCGCGGAACCAAAAAGACUAAACUGUGACACUACUGUGUGUCGUUAAAUAAAUAAAUUAUGAAUUCCUUCCACAUUGUGGAUACGGCCCGUGACACUAGGGUGACACUAUCGUCUAGGACUUUCUUUGACUUCACGUUGUGAUAACUUUUUCCAAUGAUCAAUAACUCUAAAAACACAGUUUGUGUUGCUCCUCUGUUUAUAUAUCAAAUACAGCAAACUACAAAGGUUAAAUAAGGGAAACUAAAAUAUCUAUGAUAGUACUUUUCGAGUUAUUAAAAUAUCGACGGUCUGAGUUUAAUAUCUGUUUUAUCUCAGACAAAAACGGCUGAAACAUGACAAGAGCCACACACCUAAUGUUAGUUCUACAUGAUGUUCUCGCUAUGAUGUCUUCGACCAAGCCUCUAAGCCGAGGAGGCUAUGGGUAUGUUCCCCUUGAGCUCCGAAUAAUGUCUGGACUGAAAUUAAACUUAUAUCAUCAUAUAAAGAUGAUACGCGCAUGAGUCAGUACUGAGCCCCGGAAAAUUGACCAGGUACGUCCUUUAUCUGAUUGGUCAGAUGCACAGACGCAACCCUGGAUUUAAACACAGUGUACUUAUAUGGGCACCUAGGAUGGCGGCUAACCACGUUUCUAACACAUGGGAUUACCAUAUUUAUUUUAGCAGACUAUGAUGCCAUUGCCCGAUUUUUAACUACCAGACAUAUUCUUGCCUAGUUCUCACUGGUACUAGCUAAAAUACAUUAACAAAAGCAUUUUACAGAACUUAAAUAAACGCUACUGUAUAUAGACCCUAUAGUAUUAUACAUAUAAUCCAGUAAAAUACAAUCCAAUUUGCGCGAAUGUCGAAAAGAACCGAGAUGUUUGGGAUAUAAACUUACAUCUUAAGUUUCAACAAAAUCGGAUUGAAAUUCUGACUUCUAGCGGGUCCAUUAUCUCGUACAAUCAGGUGCCAUAAUCAAAAAGUUACAGUCCGAUUAGUGCAAAUAUCGAAUCAACCGAGAUCUUUGGUUAUAGAUAUAUAUUUCAUCAAGUGAACUCUAGAGUGUCCACAAGCUAAAAAUCAGGGGCCCUAAUCCAUGAAGUGGGGGUCCGAUACAUGACAGUAUCGACAGGAACCGCAAUUUUUGGGAGUUUUAAGUUUCCUCAAAAUCGGAUAGUACCCACAUACAAAUUAUGGACGGACGUUCAGACGUGUGGAAGGAUAGGGGCGACGACAAUAUAAAAUUAUUCAGUCGUUUUAGGCGAUCCCUCUUAACAUAAAUUGAAGUUCUUUACUGGCUAGAAAAUGAUUGUCCACUACACAGACACCAGUUCGUAGAUAUCCCGAGAAUGGUAUGGUUUCAUGUCUGUAGAAUCUGUCCAUCACACAGAAUCCAGUCGUAGAUAUCUCGAGUAUGGUAUGGUUUCAUGUCUGUAGAAUCUGUCCAUCACACAGAAUCCAGUAUUAGAUAUCUCGAGUAUGGUAUGGUGUACAGAAGUAGGUAUAUAUACAUAACUAAUAGUCUGUAUUUAUAUGUUUUUUUAGUGAUGUUGACAUAAUAACGGCUACAGGAUAUAGUCAAACAGAGAAUUAAGAUGGAUGAAUAUAGGUUGGGGAUUAAACUACUUCAAGCUCACACAGACGGAAAUAUACAGGGAUUCGUAGAAACAUUAUCAUUACAAGAUAAGCAGCACGUUUUAAUUACAUGUGCUAGACAAGGGUUGUAUGAAGUUGUAAUUUAUAUGUUAGAACACGGUAUUGAUUCACAUUAUAUUAAUCCCCAUCAGAACAACCUGAUACAUCAACUUUUAUAUAACUAUAACAGAUAUGACAAACCAGAUAGACGUGAUUUGUUAUUACAAUGUCUAGAUACAUUAGUUGAUGCUGGUGUAGAUGUCAACCAGGAGAAUAGACAUAAAGAGACACCUAUAUUUAUAGCUGCUAGUACAGGGUUGUAUGAAGUUGUAAUGUAUCUGUUAAAACACGGAGUAGAUGUACAUCAUGUUGAUAGAUAUAAGGAAAACCUGAUACAUAAACUUUUAUAUAACUAUAACAGAUAUAACAAACCAGAUAGACGUGAUUUGUUAUUACAAUGUGUAGUUAGAUUAGUUGAUCUUGGUGUAGAUGUCA